rnacentral:misc_RNA from 1 species
UCCUGGUUUCCCAGGCAGUCCCAAUAGAGUGCCCUGAUAAACAGGUAGCAACUAUUAGCAGGAGUUGCGCUCGUUAAAGGACUUAACCCAACAUCUCACGACACGAGCUGACGACAACCAUGCAGCACCUGUGCAAUUGUCUCCACAGAGUGGAGAAGACCGUAUUUCUACGGCUGUCAAAAGCAUGUCAAGUCCAGGUAAGGUUCCUCGCGUAUUGUCGAAUUAAACCACAUGUUCCACCGCUUGUGCGAGCCCCCGUCAAUUCCUUUGAGUUUUAAUCUUGCGACCGUAUUCCCCAGGCGGAUCACUUAACGCGUUAGCUACGACACUCAUUCUGCAAGCAGAACGAACGUCUAGUGAUCAUCGUUUACGGCGUGGACUAC